AGGAAGGAAGGCAUGAAAUCUAGUUUUGGGGUGUGGGACUUUUGGGCGCAUAAAACAGGUUCAACUUUGGACUCCUUUUGGUGCAUGGAAUCAAGGAAUUUCAUAAUCAUGGACUCUUGUUUAAAUUACUCUUUUAAAUCUAAUUAAAAUAUCAAUUAAUUUGAAUCAUAUUAAGACCAGAUUAGACUCAAAUAAAUAAAAAUUUAAAUCUGAUUUGGAG
rnacentral:lncRNA from 1 species